GUGCCAGCAGCCGCGGUAAGACGAGGGACCCUAGCGUUGUUCGGAAUCAUUGGGCGUAAAGCGGGUGUAGGUGGCUUUGUAAGUCAGGUGUGAAAUCCCAGGGCUCAACCCUGGAAGUGCAUUUGAUACUGCGAAGCUUGAGUGCCGGAGAGGUUACUGGAAUACCUGGUGUAGUGGUGAAAUACGUAGAUAUCAGGUGGAACACCGGAGGCGAAGGCGGGUAACUGGCCGGACACUGACACUCAGACCCGAAAGCGUGGGGAUCAAACAGGAUUAGAUACCCUAGUAGUCC
rnacentral:rRNA from 1 species